rnacentral:lncRNA from 1 species
CAAAGGAGGGGACUAAGACUAAGAUGGCUUAUUUACUAUGGUUAAUCUAGUUUUCUAGGAUCCUAAGUUAAUUCAUCAUGAACUUUUAUCUCUUGAUCAUGUGAUUAGAUGUGUCCACUAUUGCUCAUGGGUUAUUCUUGUUUGAUCAUCUCUUAAAUCUUACAUUCAUUCGAAGCACUGAGAUAGUCCUAGCUUGUUAUGUCAGCAGUUAGAUCCCAAAAAUAUCAUUAGCUGCCUCCCUCCUUUUGAAAGCUGAAAUUAGUUUUGAUGCUACUGUUCAGAACUCUAUUGCUACUACAAAGUUCAUUAUUAGAGAUAGGGAAGGCAUGCUCUUCUUAGCUAGUAGCAAAAAUCUGUUGUCUUCUUCUAUAACCCAGGCUAAAUUAAUUGGGCUUGGCUUGGUUUGUAUUAUGCUUACCAUUUCUUUCUAGGAAGUCAGUUUUGGUUAUAGGAGAACUCUCUUACUAUCAUCCAAUAGAUCACUCAGAAUCCUAUUUAGAUGGCCGGUCUUAAUUCUUUGCUACAGGAUAUCAAACACUGGUAGUUUUUGCAGCAAAAUUUAAGAGUCUCUCACACUCACUAAAAAGAUAAUAAAGCAGCAGAUUGGCUAGCAUGAUAAGCACCUCAGGGAGAUUAUAUCAUCCAUAAGGGAGAUACAAAUCACCCAGAACUCCUCCAAAUUCUAAUGGUAGAUGUUGAUGGAAUAAAUUUUUGCAAGGGGAGCUAGCCAUUUACUCAACUAUUUUCUUUUGAGUUUAUUAUUUUAUGU